rnacentral:rRNA from 1 species
ACGAACGCUGGCGGCGUGCUUAACACAUGCAAGUCGAACGGAAAGGCCCUGCUUUUGUGGGGUGCUCGAGUGGCGAACGGGUGAGUAACACGUGAGUAACCUGCCCUUGACUUUGGGAUAACUUCAGGAAACUGGGGCUAAUACCGGAUAGGAGCUCCUGCUGCAUGGUGGGGGUUGGAAAGUUUCGGCGGUUGGGGAUGGACUCGCGGCUUAUCAGCUUGUUGGUGGGGUAGUGGCUUACCAAGGCUUUGACGGGUAGCCGGCCUGAGAGGGUGACCGGCCACAUUGGGAAUGAGAUACGGCCCAGACUCCUACGGGAGGCAGCAGUGGGGAAUAUUGCACAAUGGGCGGAAGCCUGAUGCAGCAACGCCGCGUGCGGGAUGACGGCCUUCGGGUUGUAAACCGCUUUCGCCUGUGACGAAGCGUGAGUGACGGUAAUGGGUAAAGAAGCACCGGAUAACUACGUG